ACCUGGGUGGCUCAGUCAGUUGAGCGUCUGACUUUGGCUCAGGUCAUGAUCUCACGGUUUGUGAGUUCGAGCCCCACGUCAGGCU
rnacentral:tRNA from 1 species